AGGUGGCAGUCACCGCGGCAAAGAGGUCAUCGCCCAGGCCGUCGCCGUAGUAGAAGUCGAGUAUAUGUGCAGCUAUGGGGCUUGAAAUUUCCUCCUGCAAAUUUCAGAGCGGGACAAGACAUGUGAGUCCUCUCUUUUUUUGGUUGUUAAACGAGUGUUACUCUCGUAUGCAUGUCAUAAGUUUUGAAGGCAAAUCAAUAUACAACUUCUCAAAAUAAGAUCAUGCAUGUGUGUGUGAUUCGGAAUAAAAUGACAAAGACAUAGACGACAUAUAAAACAAAGAGAACAUCUUUUAUAUUCUCUGGUAAAUCACAAGGCCCAAAUCUGAAAGAAGCCAUGAUGUGUUACGCUUAUGCCAACGCUAGCUGUUGUGGUUUACCUUUGAUAAAUGCCUAAUAACCAUUGAAUUACUUGUGCAGGCAAGCACCUGUUGUCCUAGGAAACGUAACGGAUCGGACUUGUUGCCAUUUUAAUUACAACUCCACAUGGGCAUCGGCAUGCGUUGAUGCAUAUAUAGGCACGAUGCAAGAAACGCGGCAGCAAAAGGAUGUCGAGAAGGAAACGAAUGAAAUCGCUCGGUUGGGUUUCAUAAAAACAUCAUCAUCCCAGAAAGUAGGAAGAGGCGAGCAAAAAACCGUGUUGGGUCAGAGAAGCAAAAUU
rnacentral:lncRNA from 1 species